UUUGUAGAGUGCGGUAGUUGU
rnacentral:misc_RNA from 1 species